GACGAACGCUGGUGGCGUGCUUAACACAUGCAAGUCGAACGGGAUUUAGUAAACAGAAGCCUCGGUGGAAGAUUACUAAUGAGAGUGGCGAACGGGUGAGUAACGCGUGAGCAACCUGCCUAUGACAGUGGGAUAGCCUCGGGAAACCGGGAUUAAUACCGCAUAAAAUCGUAGAAACACAUGUUUUAACGGUCAAAGAUUUAUCGGUCAUAGAUGGGCUCGCGUCUGAUUAGCUAGUUGGUGAGAUAACAGCCCACCAAGGCGACGAUCAGUAGCCGGUCUGAGAGGAUGAACGGCCACAUUGGAACUGAGACACGGUCCAAACUCCUACGGGAGGCAGCAGUGGGGAAUAUUGCACAAUGGGGGAAACCCUGAUGCAGCGACGCCGCGUGAACGAAGAAGGUAUUCGUAUCGUAAAGUUCUGUCCUAUGGGAAGAUAAUGACAGUACCAUGGAAGAAAGCGCCGGCUAAAUACGUG
rnacentral:rRNA from 1 species